AAGCUUGAUGAUGACGAUGUCAUUGAUUAUAUCCUGAACGGGUUAGAUGCUGACUAUAAUCCGUUUGUAUCCUCCAUGUGCGUCAACGAUAAUGUCAGCUUGAGU
rnacentral:snoRNA from 1 species